CGGACGGGUGAGUAACGCGUGGGUAACCUGCCUCAUACAGGGGGAUAACGAUUGGAAACGAUUGCUAAUACCGCAUAAGCGCACAGUACCACAUGGUACAGUGUGAAAAACUCCGGUGGUAUGAGAUGGACCCGCGUCUGAUUAGCUAGUUGGUGAGGUAACGGCCCACCAAGGCAACGAUCAGUAGCCGACCUGAGAGGGUGACCGGCCACAUUGGGACUGAGACACGGCCCAA
rnacentral:rRNA from 1 species